rnacentral:rRNA from 1 species
GGACCCCGGACGUGAAGUCGACGAUGGUCGGUGGGCUGGUUUUGGUAAGCAGAACGGGCGAUUCGGGAUGAACCGGAAGCGGGGAGAAAGGGCCCGAGAUUGCGUCGACGCGGAUCCCGAAAAGGGCGUCGAUCCGUCGCGACAGCGGGACGGUGGUCAUGGAAGUCGAAAAUCCGCUAAGAAGCGUGUAAAAACGUACCCCGCCCAACGGAUCGGCCCCGAAAAUUGAUGGCGCUCGAACGCAACCCUCGAACCCCGCCGACGGAGGCUAGGGGAGGCCCCGUCGAGUAGGCGGACGCGCGGGUCGCUUCGACGCUCCCGCGCGAGCGGGGGCGGAGCGGCCCGUGGUGCAGAUCUUGGUGGUAGUAGCGAUCACCCAGGCGAGAACCCUGAGGGCCGU